CAGCAGCCGCGGUAAUACGAAGGGGGCUAGCGUUGCUCGGAAUUACUGGGCGUAAAGGGAGCGUAGGCGGAUCGUUUAGUCAGGGGUGAAAUCCCGGGGCUCAACCUCGGAACCGCCUUUGAUACUGGCGAUCUUGAGUAUGGGAGAGGUGUGUGGAACUCCGAGUGUAGAGGUGAAAUUCGUAGAUAUUCGGAAGAACACCAGUGGCGAAGGCGACACACUGGCCCAUUACUGACGCUGAGGCUCGAAAGCGUGGGGAGCAAACAGGAUUAGAUACCCCCGUAGUCCCUGUCUCUUAUAA
rnacentral:rRNA from 1 species